UACGUAGGGGGCAAGCGUUGUCCGGAUUUAUUGGGCGUAAAGAGCGUGUAGGCGGCCAUACAGGUCAGCUGUGAAAACUCGAGGCUCAACCUCGAGAUGUCGGUGGAAACCGUCUGGCUAGAGUCCGGAAGAGGAGAGUGGAAUUCCUGGUGUAGCGGUGAAAUGCGCAGAUAUCAGGAGGAACACCUAUGGCGAAGGCAGCUCUCUGGGACGAUACUGACGCUGAGACGCGAAAGCGUGGGGAGCGAACAGG
rnacentral:rRNA from 1 species